rnacentral:rRNA from 1 species
UACGGGGGGGGCAAGCGUUGUUCGGAAUUACUGGGCGUAAAGGGCUCGUAGGCGGCCAACUAAGUCCGACGUGAAAUCCCAAGGCUUAACCUUGGAACUGCGUCGGAUACUGGAUGGCUUGAAUUCGGGAGAGGGAUGCAGAAUUCCCGGUGUAGCGGUGGAAUGCGUAGAGAUCGGGAAGAAUACCUGUGGCGAAGGCGGCCAGCUGGGCCAGAUCCGACACUGAGGCGCGAAAGCGUGGGGAGCAAACAGG